AUUGAACGCUGGCGGCAUGCCCUACACAUGCAAGUCGAACGGCAGCACGGGAGCAAUCCUGGUGGCGAGUGGCGAACGGGUGAGCAAAGUAUCGGAACGUGCCCAGUCGUGGGGGAUAACGUAGCGAAAGUUACGCUAAUACCGCAUACGAUCUAUGGAUGAAAGCGGGGGAUCGCAAGACCGCGCGCGAUUGGAGCGGCCGAUAUCAGAUUAGGUAGUUGGUGGGGUAAAGGCUCACCAAGCCGACGAUCUGUAGCUGGUCUGAGAGGACGACCAGCCACACUGGGACUGAGACACGGCCCAGACUCCUACGGGAGGCAGCAGUGGGGAAUUUUGGACAAUGGGCGAAAGCCUGAUCCAGCCAUGCCGCGUGCAGGAUGAAGGCCUUCGGGUUGUAAACUGCUUUUGUACGGAACGAAAAGGUUUGGCCUAAUAAGCUGAGCUCAUGACGGUACCGUAAGAAUAAGCACCGGCUAACUACGUGCCAGCAGCCGCCGUAA
rnacentral:rRNA from 1 species